CCUACGGGUGGCAGCAGUGGGGAAUAUUGCACAAUGGGGGAAACCCUGAUGCAGCGAAGCCGCGUGAAUGAAGACGUCCUUAGGUAUGUAAAGCUCUAUCAGCACGGAGGAAAAUUACGGUACCUGAGUAAGAAUGCCCGUCGAACUACGUGCCAGCAGCGGCGGUAAGACGUAGGCGGCAAGCGUAAGCCGGAUUUACUGGGUGUAAAGGGAGCGUAGGCGGCAGAAAAAGGCUGGAGUGAAAUGCCGGGGCUUAACCCCGGAACUGCUGUGGAAACUGUGCUGCUUGAGUGCAGGAGAGGUAAGUGGAAUUCGUGGUGUAGCGGUGAAAUGCUUAGAUAUUAGGAGGAACACCAGUGGCGAAGGCGGCUUACGGGACUGUUACUGACGUUGAGGCUCGAAAGCGUGGGUAGCGAACAGGAUUAGAUACCCUUGUAGUC
rnacentral:rRNA from 1 species